rnacentral:rRNA from 1 species
GACGAACGCUGGCGGCGUGCUUAACACAUGCAAGUCGAACGGAAAGGCCCUGCUUUUGUGGGGUGCUCGAGUGGCGAACGGGUGAGUAACACGUGAGUAACCUGCCCUUGACUUUGGGAUAACUUCAGGAAACUGGGGCUAAUACCGGAUAGGAGCUCCUGCUGCAUGGUGGGGGUUGGAAAGUUUCGGCGGUUGGGGAUGGACUCGCGGCUUAUCAGCUUGUUGGUGGGGUAGUGGCUUACCAAGGCUUUGACGGGUAGCCGGCCUGGGAGGGUGACCGGCCACAUGGGGACUAGGAUACGGCCCAGACUCCUACGGGAGGCAGCAGGGGGAAAUAUUGCACAGUGGGCGGAAGCCUGAUGCGGCAACGCCGGGUGCGGGAUGACGGCCUUCGGGUUGUAAACCGCUUUCGCCUGUGACGAAGCGUGAGUGACGGUAAUGGGUAAAGAAGCACCGGCUAACUACGUG